UGCACAUCUGCACAGAGCAUACAGGUUGGUUUAUUUUCCUUUACAGUCAUUGCUGUCAUGUGCUGGUUCCUCCAUGAGGACUCAUCAUAAUAAUCAUGCUUAGAUUUGCAGGCAGUUAAACUACAAAACAUGCAGCAAGUUUCUAUUUUGUCUGUGGAGUUAAUUUUUUGUGUGUCUGCUGAUUUUUAUAAUCUUGAACAAACAGAAGAAACCGUUUAGCUGGACAGAUAUUUGUUCUUAGAAACCAGAGGACGACCAAAGUGCAUACUGAUAUUGUAACACUUGUUGGCUGUUGCUAGGUCCCAAAACACACUCAGAUGCGUUAGCCGGUGCAGUUAAAUUGAAUUAUUUGCACAGUUUUAUCUUUGCAGACCGUUCAUUGAUUCCAGACAAUCGCUGUCAGCUGUGUACACCAGGCUCUCCUGACACUGUCCCUGAACCCACUGCAACACCCCUCCUGUGCAGCUGAGCCACAGACUACACCCUGCCACAGCAAAUGAAUCCUGUUACAGUGCUACUCCAUCAAAACAUUGUUGAGAAGUUUAAUUCUGGUGGAAAACUGCCAACCUGCUGUUUGGACAAGAAGAAACUUGUGAAACAAAGGUCAGCUCAGGUAGCUCAUCAUCUGGAGGCAGAAGUUAUGCAGAAUAUUCAGCUUCAUGCAGUUUUUACAACAUUAAUUCAUCUCGACUAAACCAAAUCACGGAGCUGAAAUACACUAAACAGAAAUAACAAUAUGACCACAACAGGUGACAAGAUUAUCUCUUCAUCACAGCACCUGUUAGUGGGUAGGAUAUAUUAAGGAGCAAGUAAACAUUUUCUCCUCAAAGUUGAUGUGUUAGAAGCAGAAAAAAUGGGCGAGUGUAAGGAUUUGAGUGAGUUUGACAAAAUAAUGAUGGCUAGAUGACUCGGUGCAAAAACGCAAAAGCCCGAUUGUGGGGUGUUGUUGCGGGUGGUCAGUACGUAUCAAAAGUGGUCCAAGGAAGAAACAGUGACCAGUAACUCAGCAUCUGUGGGAUCUACAGGACAAACACGUGUGAUCCAUGGAGGUCCUUCCUUACAACUUACAGGACUUCAAGGAUCUGUUGCUAACAUCUCAGUGCCAGAUAUCACAGCACAUCUUCAGGGGUCGAGUGGAAUCCAUGCCUCAGGACUGCUUUGGCAGCAAAAGAGGGACCAACACAAAAUCAGGCAGAGUCAUAAUGUUACGUCUGAUCGGUGUAUGACACUGCUUUACCUCAGCUGUCACAUUCAACAUCAGACAGGUUUUUGUACUGGUCUGUGUCACUGUGUGAGGGGACAGGAUCUUUGGCUCUGGAGUUAAACUGUACGUAACAGAGAAGCCGGUACUGAAGCCCUCGGUGACAGUGUACCAAGCAGCAUCCAGUGAUCAUCUGGAGGAGAAGAGAUCCCUGCUGUGUGUGGCCUCACAAAUGAUUCCUCCUGUGGUCCAGAUCACCUGGAAAAGCCAGAAGCAGGACGGAUCUCCGCUGGCAUUGACCCCUGGUGGCACAGAACAGCUGGACGUCAUAGAGUCCGAUUACACUGCCAGCAUCUUGUUGAUCCAUCAGCGAGACGAGAACUCACAUACAUAUAACUGUUCUGUCACACACGAGGGGGGGACGGUGGAGGACCAAAUAGAGGAAGGAGUUUCUCAAAGUCCACCAAAAGAACUUCCACCAGAUACACUUUCCACCAAUCAAACUUUAACAGAACGUCCAUCAUCAGAACAUCCUGUGUCUCAAAAACAAGUAAAACUGCUCUGCCUGGUGUACACGGUGCUGAUCACGAAGAGUCUGGUGUACUGCUGUGGAGUCUCUCUGCUCAGGCUCGUCAGACGCAGCUGCAAACACGCAGCUGACUGACUGUUUCCUUCUUCUUGGCUUAUCGCUUUUUAUAUCGUUUAUCACUCAGGAUUUAGAAAAAUCUGUAACAGUGCAGCAUUUUGGCUGUUUUUUUACUUUCUUUUUUAUUUCAAUAUUAAAAAAGAGCUGAAACAGAAAAGGCUGAAUUAUUAGCUCCCUAGUAGAUGAGUCAUCAUUUAUAGCAUUUGUUUAAUUAAAACAAAGUGUUGCCUGCUCUUCAAAGUAUUUCUCUGCAAUAUUCCAAAUAAAGCAAACAAAAAA
ensembl:lncRNA